GAUUUGUUUGCUAAGCAAACACUAAACUUGGAAUAAUACAGAGAACAUUAACAUGGCUCCUACUUUUAAAAAAAAUUAUUGAAAUAUAUAU
rnacentral:snRNA from 1 species